UCGGCAGCCCUCAGUACUGAGGGGAUGCAGUAUGGAGCACCAAGUUUCACUAAAGUGAUUUGUGGAAAGGACAAUUGGCAAUGUCUUGUGGCUGAUCUCUUGCAGCCUUGCUAGUGCCAUUGAAACAGUGCAGAGGGAGCUGCUUGUUGGGAGCCUGAAAGCUCACCCUGUGAAUGAUGAUGGUCCACUAGUGCCAAGUUGCAGUCAAAAACAUAUGAAAAAUUAGUAUGCCAUGGAUGCAAGGAAAGGCCAUGACCCAGGACCACGUCAUUGGACGACUGAUAUCAUGUCAUACAACAGGCCUAUCCAAAAUUGUGAUGGCCAUGUCCUGCUGUGAUCUGCAACUCCAGCCAAGGCAAAGCAGAGGGCUCCAGCUAAUGGCUGCUGGAACAGAACGACCUAAUUGGAGGCAGGUUUGGGAAGAGCAGCAGUGGACACUGGAGUCUGAAUUCUGGAAAAGAGGAGCCAGUGUUGGAUGCCUAAAACCGUCAGCUGUGCUUUACAGCCAUGCUUUUUAAUAUUUUUAACAGGCUAUGCUUAAAAGCAGCUAAUUUACUGCAUGUCUCAAUAGCAGUCUGAAACUAUCGAGCAUCUAGUAAGAACAGAGAAAUCAGUGAGCAGCUCUAGAGACACGGCCAUCAUUUCAACAUGUGCAUUUGCAUAUUCCAUCUAAUGCCUGAAGUCAGAUGCCUAAAAUUAGUAGGUUUAUUUGGAUGUGUGGAAAUAAUUGUAAUUUGUUUCACAGCAAUCAAUUUGUGAUGCUUUGAUUUCCCUUUCUACAGAAUUAAAUUAUUAAGGGGCAAAUACGAUUUUCAAGAUACUUUUUA